UACGUAGGUGGCAAGCGUUGUCCGGAUUUACUGGGCGUAAAGAGCGCGCAGGCGGUCGGUCAAGUCGCGUGUGAAAGCCCCCGGCUCAACUGGGGAGGGUCACGCGAUACUGGUCGACUCGAAGGCAGGAGAGGGAAGUGGAAUUCCACGUGUAGCAGUGAAAUGCGUAGAGAUGUGGAGGAACACCGAUGGCGAAGGCAGCCUCCUGGGCCAGCACUGACGCUCAUGCACGAAAGCGUGGGGAGCAAACAGG
rnacentral:rRNA from 1 species